rnacentral:rRNA from 1 species
GAUGAACGCUAGCGGCAGGCCUAAUACAUGCAAGUCGAACGCGGGGUAGCAAUACCUCGAGUGGCGCACGGGUGCGUAACGCGUAACCAACCUGCCCUUGACUGGGGGAUAGCCCGCCGAAAGGCGGAUUAAUACCGUAUAAACCAGCAGCCUGGCAUCAGGCAACUGGUAAAGAUUUAUUGGUCAAGGAUGGGGUUGCGUGACAUUAGCUAGUUGGCGGGGUAACGGCCCACCAAGGCGACGAUGUCUAGGGGACCUGAGAGGGUGAUCCCCAACACUGGCACUGAGAUACGGGCCAGACUCCUACGGGAGGCAGCAGUAGGGAAUAUUGGGCAAUGGGCGAGAGCCUGACCCAGCCAUGCCGCGUGCCGGAUGAAGGCCUUCUGGGUUGUAAACGGCUUUUCUCAGGGAAGAAAAAGGGUAUGCGUACCACACUGACGGUACCUGAGGAAUAAGCACCGGCUAACUCCGUGCCAGCCGCCGCCGUAACAC